rnacentral:rRNA from 1 species
UACGUAGGGUGCGAGCGUUGUCCGGAAUUAUUGGGCGUAAAGGGCUCGUAGGCGGUCUGUCGCGUCGGGAGUGAAAACUCAGGGCUUAACCCUGAGCCUGCUUCCGAUACGGGCAGACUAGAGGUAUGCAGGGGAGAACGGAGUUCCUGGUGUAGCGGUGAAAUGCGCAGAUAUCAGGAGGAACACCGGUGGCGAAGGCGGUUCUCUGGGAAUGUCCUGACGCUGAGGAGCGAAAGUGUGGGGAGCGAACAGG